rnacentral:rRNA from 1 species
CAACAGGGAUUGCCCUAGUAACGGCGAGUGAAGCGGCAACAGCUCAAAUUUGAAAUCUGGCUCUCGGGCCCGAGUUGUAAUUUGUAGAGGAUGCUUUUGGUGCGGUGCCUUCCGAGUUCCCUGGAACGGGACGCCAUAGAGGGUGAGAGCCCCGUCUGGUUGGACGCCAAUCCUCUGUAAAGCUCCUUCGACGAGUCGAGUAGUUUGGGAAUGCUGCUCUAAAUGGGAGGUAUAUGUCUUCUAAAGCUAAAUACCGGCCAGAGACCGAUAGCGCACAAGUAGAGUGAUCGAAAGAUGAAAAGAACUUUGAAAAGAGAGUUAAAAAGUACGUGAAAUUGUUGAAAGGGAAGCGCUUGUGACCAGACUUGGGCUUGGUUGAUCAUCCAGGGUUCUCCCUGGUGCACUCCUCCGGCCCAGGCCAGCAUCAGUUCGCCCCGGGGGACAAAGACGCCUGGAAUGUGGCUCUCUUCGGGGAGUGUUAU